ensembl:snoRNA
AGCCUAUGAUGGUUAAAGAGUAGUGGGCAGAAGGAAUUUCUGAAAAAUUCAAUUCUGAGGCU